rnacentral:rRNA from 1 species
GACGAACGCUGGCGGCGUGCUUAACACAUGCAAGUCGAACGGAAAGGCCCUGCUUUUGUGGGGUGCUCGAGUGGCGAACGGGUGAGUAACACGUGAGUAACCUGCCCUUGACUUUGGGAUAACUUAAGGAAACUGGGGCUAAUACCGGAUAGGAGCUCCUGCUGCUGGGGGGGGGUGGGAAAGUUUCGGCGGUUGGGGAUGGACUCGCGGCUUAUCAGCUUGUUGGUGGGGUAGUGGCUUACCAAGGCUUUGACGGGUAGCCGGCCUGAGAGGGUGACCGGCCACAUUGGGACUGAGAUACGGCCCAGACUCCUACGGGAGGCAGCAGUGGGGAAUAUUGCACAAUGGGCGGAAGCCUGAUGCAGCAACGCCGCGUGCGGGAUGACGGCCUUCGGGUUGUAAACCGCUUUCGCCUGUGACGAAGCGUGAGUGACGGUAAUUGGUAAAGAAGCACCGGCUAACUACGUG